GAUUCAAUGGCGGAAAAUCCUGGAGAAAAAGCUGUUAUUCCAGCAUUGGCAACAACUGCCUACAUCUCAAAGCAACCGCAAAAAAGGAAGAUGGACUUAUCAAAAAGAGAGUCUAAAAGACCGUAUGAAAAAAAAUGCAAUAAAACACGUGUCAAUAUAUCGGCAAAGCGUUUCAGAGAUGGAGAGAACUUUGCAUCGACCUAAAGUUGGAUUCUGAGCUUGUCGUUCUUCUCUGGUACAGGUAAGCUGCUAACUUCAUUUUCCUGCAUGUGUUGUUUACCUCCGGUAAAGACCUGUGUACAGCGGAAACUUCCCAAAAUUUUUCAGUGGGCUCAUGCAGGGCUGUUGCCCAAAAAAUUGCCCAGAGUAUCCCUAACCCAAGAAUAGUGACAGACUAAGCAAUAAUACGGGCAAUUUCUGUUGUUAAACAGUACCCUAAGAGUUGCCUCAGCAUAUUGGAUAGAUUUUCAACCCUAGCGCUCACUGUUGCUUGUUGCCUGCAGCAUUGCCCAUAAAAUUGUUGAAUCUAUCACUACCCUAAGCUCAACCAACAUCAAUAACUGAGGGAAGUUUGUGCCUUGUUAGCUAAAGCUAGAUAUUUUGCUAGUGCCCUUUAAAUAUAAAAAGAAAUCAAAUGUCUUUUUGAAUCAAAUAUUAUCUAUAUUUACAAAAGUUGAUAUUGGCUUUGUGGCCUGCUAGCUUGUUCAUGUUUGCUACCUAGCGAAGUUUUAGCUUUUUUAGCUAGGCACACUGUAAAAAUAUCAACAUCUAAAUAUCAUUUUCAGUUUGAACCAGAAAUAUAGCAAUGCUCCUCAGUUUUGGUAUAGCAAUUCGACUAACUUAGCUCAUCUUUGCAAGCGAAUGUUAGCUUACUUCCAUAGUGGCUAAUGCUAAUCUAAAAAGCAAUUAUGCAUUUUAAUAUCCUCAUAGUAAUAUAGCUGUAGUAGCAGACUAGUGUAAACUAACUAAUAAAUUUGAAAACUUUCAUGUUGGUCUCAGCUUGUAACUUGAGCCUCUUUGCACAGCUAUUUUUACCUGACAUCAGAAACACUGAUUGGCUGAGGCAGUUGUUGUCCCAGGGCUAUCAUACAAAAUGUUGAUCUCAGGACAACAACCACUUGGCAAAAUCAGGGCAGUUACACUCGCAGUGUGUUUAAGGCAGCAGCAGGCUAAUCGAUUUGUGAUUGGUGAGUUGUAUUUUUCAUGUCCACCAGUUGAAUGUGUUUUAGUAUCCACCAAUUAGGCACUUCUACCGGGACUCUGGUUGUCGGUCACCACUUUGUGCAGCUUGUGUUGCUCUCUUCAAUUUACACAAUGAUCUAGCUACAGUCAGGGGUAAGUUUUCAUUCCUUAUCAGACAUGUUUUCAUUGCAGAUAUUGGCCUUUAUGGAUUUUAUUAUUUAUUGAUAUUGACUACUGCAUUACUUUUUGAACUGUCUGUCUUAUUUUACCCAAAUUGUCUGUGUGAUUUCAAUCAUUGCGGACCGGUGUUUUGCACCAUGUCACCUGCCACCAUGGACCGCUACCCGAGAGCCACAGCGACAUCUGGACUGAGCAAGACUGCACACAGGACCUUAAUCUGUGGCUGAGGGAUGUGGAAAAGUUUUUGCCUUUCAGCCACAUCUUCAUGUACGCUUCCAAGAGGUUCUCCUCCAGCCCACCUGUGUAUGAGGCCUGGAUUAUAACCAUCAUGUCCACAGACCAGCAAUGAAAAACAGGAUUGACGUUUUGCUGUACUGCAAAGUCUGGAGCUUAUAUGCAUGCAGUUCCAAAGGACUAUAGUUACAUGCCAGACCUGCAGAGCCCCAUCAUGAGAAGACAGCUGGCUGAUGACGAGGGGAUGCCCAGAAAGACAGUGAUACAUCCCUCAGACCCAUGACAGCUUGGGCUCGUCUCUGGAGUUCCAGCUCUGACCACAGAGCAGCUCCUAGAGCAUCAAGUCAGCAGGUGACUUGGAACAGCGGUGGCAAAGUGGCUGAUUCCUCCCUUCAUCCCUCCUUUCCUCUCUCCGAAUACAACAACAGGUCUGGA